UACGUAGGGUGCAAGCGUUAAUCGGAAUUACUGGGCGUAAGGCGUGCGCAGGCGGUUGUGCAAGACAGAUGUGAAAUCCCCGGGCUUAACCUGGGAAUGGCAUUUGUGACUGCACGGCUAGAGUGUGUCAGAGGGGGGUAGAAUUCCACGUGUAGCAGUGAAAUGCGUAGAUAUGUGGAGGAAUACCGAUGGCGAAGGCAGCCCCCUGGGAUAACACUGACGCUCAUGCACGAAAGCGUGGGGAGCAAACAGG
rnacentral:rRNA from 1 species